rnacentral:rRNA from 1 species
AGUGAAGCGGCAAGAGCUCAAAUUUGAAAGCUGGCCCCUCCGGGGUCCGCGUUGUAAUUUGCAGAGGAUGCUUUGGGUGCGGCCCCCGUCUAAGUGCCCUGGAACGGGCCGUCAGAGAGGGUGAGAAUCCCGUCUUGGGCGGGGUGUCCGUGCCCGUGUAAAGCUCCCUCGACGAGUCGAGUUGUUUGGGAAU